GUGUCUUUCAACCUGUUUCU
rnacentral:snRNA from 1 species